AAGUGCUCAGCAUAUGUGGGAACUCCUUCAAGACUGCUGGAAAAACAUUCCAGGUGCUACAGAGAGAAUAUUCCAAGGACCACCAAAGCCUUCUGGCCAACAACCUGCAAUCUCUCCAGAGUAGAGAAGUGAGUCUGCUGGGCCAUGGAACUCUAGAGCAGCACGUGUAAAAACCUGCCACCCUGUUGUCAGCCAUCAGCAGACAGUUAGUUCCCUGAGGAAGGAUGCAACUGUGAAGGCUUUUCAAUGGCCAAAUGUAGGGGGGAGGGGGUUGAUCCCCAACCGCAAUAAAGUUUUGUAGUUUUG